GACGGAGGGUGCAAGCGUUGUUCGGAUUGACUGGGCGUAAAGGGCGUGUAGGCGGUCGGCCAAGUCUGAUGUGAAAGCCCGAGGCUCAGCCUCGGAAGUGCGUCGGAAACUAGUCGGCUGGAGCGCGAUAGAGGAGGGUGGAAUUCCUGGUGUAGCGGUGAAAUGCGUAGAUAUCAGGAGGAACACCGGCGGCGAAGGCGGCCCUCUGGAUCGUUGCUGACGCUGAUACGCGAAAGCGUGGGGAGCAAGCAGG
rnacentral:rRNA from 1 species